CUUCCAGACUCCUACGGGAGGCAGCAGUGGGGAAUAUUGCACAAUGGGGGAAACCCUGAUGCAGCAACGCCGCGUGAGUGAAGAAGUAUUUCGGUAUGUAAAGCUCUAUCAGCAGGGAAGAGAAUGACGGUACCUGACUAAGAAGCCCCGGCUAACUACGUGCCAGCAGCCGCGGUAAUACGUAGGGGGCAAGCGUUAUCCGGAUUUACUGGGUGUAAAGGGAGCGUAGACGGCUGGCCAAGUCUGAAGUGAAAGCCCGGGGCUUAACCCCGGAACGGCUUUGGAAACUGGCCGGCUGGAGUGCUGGAGAGGCAGGCGGAAUUCCUGGUGUAGCGGUGAAAUGCGUAGAUAUCAGGAGGAACACCGGUGGCGAAGGCGGCCUGCUGGACAGUAACUGACGUUGAGGCUCGAAAGCGCGGGGAGCAAACAGGAUUAGAUACCCGAGUA
rnacentral:rRNA from 1 species